rnacentral:rRNA from 1 species
UACGUAGGUGGCAAGCGUUACUCGGAAUCACUAGGCGUAAAGCGCAGGUAGGCGGUUUGGUAAGUCUCUUGUUAAAGCUCCUGGCUCAACUGGGAGAGGUCAAGGGAAACUACCGGACUAGAGUGUGGUAGGGGAAACUGGAAUUCCCGGUGUAGCGGUGAAAUGCGUAGAUAUCGGGAGGAAUACCUAUGGCGAAAGCAGGUUUCUGGGCCAUCACUGACGCUGAGCUGCGAAAGCUAGGGGAGCAAACAGG